rnacentral:lncRNA from 1 species
CAAUCAGAUCAAAGAAACCCAUUUUCAUAUCACUUGUUUUCAUUUCUUUCAUCAUCAGAUCCAAAACUUAAAUAAAUUUUAUAAACAAAUAAUCAAUUUAAACGAGAACCCAAUAAAGUUUGUUGAAAUGGGUAUCAGAAAAGUUAAACUGAAACUUGACAACAUUAAACAAAGAACAAAGAAGAAGAAGAAGAAGAAAACAAGCGCAGCUCUUGAAAUUAUCACACCAUUGACGGAAGCUUAUGGUUCAUGGCUAGGCAAAGCUCUGCUGAUGAUGAACUCAAUGAUAUAAUUCCAAACGCCUGGAACAUAAAGAGCAAAGAUACUUUCUUUUGAUUUUGUAAGAAAUGGGCAAAAAGCAGAAACUCCAUUUUCUUUCAACAUCCAUGGCUAAAACUUUUCCUCCACAAUAGGGACAUGAUCCAGGAGCUUGUUGCCUGCCUAACUCUUUAUCCUCUUCGUCACAAAACAAAACCCAACACAUUCUCUCUCUCUCUCUCUCUCUCUUUGUCUCCCUUUUUUCCAAGAAAACAAUGAAGUGAUGUAAGGGCUGUCGAUAG